rnacentral:other from 1 species
AGGAAUCUGUUCUACUCGUUGUGAAGUUGAGUUAAGUUUCCCGAGCGAUAAUUUCUAGUCAAGGGAAUUGCCUCUAUUAAUUUUUUUAAAGUUAAUAUGUGAUACCCACCUUAACUUUAGGUCUCAGGAAUUUACUAAGACUGACGGUAGGUACGGAUUCUGC